AUGGCGGAGGAAUCAUGGAGCAACUCCCCUCCGUCUGCCAAGAGAAUGGCGGAGGCAUCAUGGAGCAACUCCCCUCCGUCUGCCAAGCAUCACCGUGGUGAGGCGUCUGGCAAGGAGCCGCUGGUGGUCGACGACGACGUUCCGGUCCCCGGGCAGAAGCUGGACUACACCGUGCCGCUCAAGGUUGAUAUCCACCUGAAGGAGCCGCUGGAUGUCGUAUGCACCAGCAAUCCAGACGAAGUCGACAAGAGGAUCUGCCAGAUGAGGAGGAGGCUCGGCGGCAUGCUUUCUCGGUCGAUCGGCGUUGAUGUCGAGUAUACCAGGAAGACGAACCUCCGCAAAUUGCUGCAGUUCAACAGUUAUGCGUGGAGGAUCUCGUCCUGGUAUACUACAUCACGGCGGCAACCAAAUGGCCCAAGGAACUCCGCCCGCUCCUGCAGGAGAAGAAGUUGUACACCUUUGUUGGCUUCUGCAUUGGAGGCGACAAGGAGAAGCUGA
rnacentral:rRNA from 1 species